CCAACUCACGAGCCAUUUUUUUUGGCGAAUCAUUCGCGAAUCGCGAAUAAUUCGCGGAUAAUUAUUUUUUACGAAAAAAACGUGUUUUUUUCCGAACUUUUUUGAAAAAUACGUUUAAGGCCGUUUAAUUCGGUUAUUCAAAAAUUCGUAAAUUAUUCACGAAUUUACUAACUAGGGGUGCUACCAAGUUUUCUGCCGUUUAGAUCUACCCCUUUGACCAUUUCCAUCCGUUCGAUCAUACUAUUCAACCAACCAACCACUCAACCUUAGGAGACCACUAUCAUUCUAACCGCAUAUCGCUUCAUCCAAGGGCCGAAAACUUAAUAGCACCAAUGAUUUGGUGCUAUUAAUAGUACUCUAGUCUAGUUCUACAUAUAUAUAUAUAUAUAUAUAUAUAUAUAUAUAUAUAUAGUCCGGUUACAAUGCUGUCAAUAGCACCAAGCACUUGGAGCUAUCAAGUUUUCUGCCGUUAGAU
rnacentral:lncRNA from 1 species